rnacentral:rRNA from 1 species
UACGGGGGGGGCAAGCGUUGUUCGGAAUUACUGGGCGUAAAGGGCUCGUCGGCGGCCAACUAAGUCAGACGUGAAAUCCCUCGGCUUAACCGGGGAACUGCAUCUGAUACUGGAUGGCUUGAGUUCGGGAGAGGGAUGCGGAAUUCCAGGUGUAGCGGUGAAAUGCGUAGAUAUCUGGAGGAAUACCGGUGGCGAAGGCGGCAUCCUGGACCGGCAUUGACGCUGAUGAGCGAAAGCUAGGGGAGCAAACGGG